rnacentral:lncRNA from 1 species
UGUUUUUUGAUUUUGCUUUAAUGAUUUUAAUUAGUAUCCAACAUCAAUUCUUAAUCUGUAUACAACAGUUCUGGAGUGACCUGGAUAACAAUUUGUUUGCUCAUACACCUUAAGUACUCCCCAAAUAGAAUGUAUAAAAGUACUAAUUUAGAUUGGUUUUGUGUAAUCUGUGAAUAAAUAAUAUUUUACAGCAGUUCUCUGGGUAAUGAGAGUCACUCUGUACAGAUAGUAGGUAUGUACUUAAAUAUUUAUACAUUUCCCUCUGAGCUAGUAAGUCAUUGACCCUGAAGCUGGAAUGAGGCUGGUUUGCACCUUGGAAAACUUAAUCGUUCCCAUGGUAACACAGAGACUCUUGCCUACCACUUCUUCCCACAUCUUUGUUAUAUUUAAAGCAAGAAAUUGUUAUUUACUUCAUAUUUGAUAUGUUGAUACAAUUUUCAGGGCACAAAUUCCUAACCUCAGCCAUUCUUGUGUUUUUUUUUUUUUUUUUUGGAGAGAUGGGGGUCUUGUUAUAUUGCACAGGCUGGUCUCGAACUUCCCCGCCUCAAGUGAUUCUCCCAUUUCAGCCUCCCAAAGCUGGGAUUACAGGUGUGAUCCACCAUGCCCAGCCUGCCCUUUAAUUUUUUGGUGACUUCUAAAGCACAGUUUUUAGUUUUUUAAUAUUUAAAAAAUAAAUAUUUUACUUAAUGUUUCACAUAAUAUAAUCCCCCCUCCCAAGACUAUACAAGUUUUUCUUUAUAUUUUCUUCUCGUAAGGCUAUGGUUUCAUUUUUAUAUAAAAUCUUUAAAAUCAUCCAAAUGCAUGAAAGUCACAAUAAAUCACUAGAAAUUUAUUUUAGAACAUGGUGUAUUUUUUCCCUCCAAACAAUUGGCCAAUGACCCUUUCAUUUAUUGUAUAGUUUAUAUUUUCCUCACUGAUUAUAAAUGUAACAUUUUAAAAAAAGAGAUGGGGUAGUAGAGACAGGGUCUUGAAAUGCUGCCUAGGCUGGUCUUAAACUCCUGGCCUCAAGAGAGCCUCCUGCCUCUUUUUUUCCUUUUAAAAUAAGAACUAUCACUGUUUUCUUCUCCUUCCUUUUUUUUUUUUUUCUCUCUAGCAACUAUUGCCACCCUGGCCCCAAAAGUUAUUUAUAGAGUACAUUGGUAGUAAUUAUACUUACAAUUUAGUCCAUGGAGUGCAGGACCAUGAGGAACUAUAGCUAGAUAAGAUUGUGCCAGAAUUAGAAGAAUAGACAUUUUACUUUCAGAGACCAUGACUAAAAGAAUAUUAACACCAAGAUGCUCCUUCCAUCAGCUGGAUGUACCUUUGGGCUUGGAAAGAUGGCAAGUAUAGGAGUUGUACUGGAACGGCUGGAUCAAAUAGGUUGAAGGCAUUUUUGUCAUUGUACAUGUGGGGAAAAGCAACCAAGUAAUAAGACACAACAGAUAUCUCUUAAGGCACCGACACAGCUCACAGUGACACCUCCCUCCCCAGCACAGCGUAAGGGUGGAACAGUAGCAAAAUAUCUAUACACAUAACUUGCAGAUGAAUCAUGCCUGAGUAACAUGGACGUGGAAAUAUGACCCAAAUUGGGCA